rnacentral:rRNA from 1 species
UACGUAGGUGGCGAGCGUUGUCCGGAUUUACUGGGCGUAAAGGGCGUGCAGGCGGUCUGCUAAGUCUGGGGUGAAAGCUCCCGGCUCAACUGGGAGAGGUCCCUGGAUACUGGCAGACUCGAGGGAGGUAGAGGAGAGUGGAAUUCCCGGUGUAGUGGUGAUAUGCGUAGAUAUCGGGAGGAACACCUGUGGCGAAGGCGGCUCUCUGGGCCUUACCUGACGCUGAGACGCGAAAGCGUGGGGAGCGAACCGG